AGAGUUUGAUCAUGGCUCAGAUUGAACGCUGGCGGAAUGCUUUACACAUGCAAGUCGAACGGCAGCACGGGGCAACCUGGUGGCGAGUGGCGAACGGGUGAGUAAUACAUCGGAACGUGCCCAAUCGUGGGGGAUAACGUAGCGAAAGUUACGCUAAUACCGCAUACGAUCUACGGAUGAAAGCGGGGGAUCGCAAGACCUCGCGCGAGUGGAGCGGCCGAUGUCAGAUUAGGUAGUUGGUGGGGUAAAGGCUCACCAAGCCAACGAUCUGUAGCUGGUCUGAGAGGACGACCAGCCACACUGGAACUGAGACACGGUCCAGACUCCUACGGGAGGCAGCAGUGGGGAAUUUUGGACAAUGGGCGCAAGCCUGAUCCAGCCAUUCCGCGUGCAGGAUGAAGGCCUUCGGGUUGUAAACUGCUUUGUACGGAACGAAACGGCGAGCUCUAAUACAGUUUGCUAAUGACGGUACCGUAAGAAUAAGCACCGGCUAACUACGUG
rnacentral:rRNA from 1 species